CGUGUAGGCGGCCAGACAGGUCCGUUGUGAAAACUGGAGGCUUAACCUUCAGACGUCGAUGGAAACCGUCGGGCUAGAGUCCGGAAGAGGAGAGUGGAAUUCCUGGUGUAGCGGUGAAAUGCGCAGAUAUCAGGAAGAACACCCGUGGCUAAGGCGGCUCUCUAGUACGGUACUGACGCUGAGACGCGAAAGCGUGGGGAGCGAACA
rnacentral:rRNA from 1 species